UACGUAGGUGGCAAGCGUGUCCGGAUUUAUUGGGCGUAAAGGGCGCGCAGGUGGUGUGCUAAGUCUGCCGUGAAAUCUCCCGGCUCAACUGGGAGGCUGCGGUGGAGACUGGUACGCUUGAGGUACCUAGAGGUCGGUGGAAUUCCCGGUGUAGUGGUGAAAUGACGUAGAGAGUCGGGAGGAACACCAGUGGCGAAGGCGGCCGGGCUGGGG
rnacentral:rRNA from 1 species